rnacentral:lncRNA from 1 species
CCGCGUCGGUUCCAUUCGGCAGCUGGGACGUCGCUCGUCCUUCCUGGGUUGGUAGCCGGCCUCAUCUCGCCGGCAGCGGCUCACGGUGGCACUGUGAAGGCCGUUGGUUUUGUAAGCCGGAACUUUCUUCUCCGGCCACCGAUUCAAGGUAUCUUUGGGGGAUUUUGUAGCUCUUUGAUUAGUCUUUCAACCACCCAAAAGAGGUAGAACGAUUUGGAGUAUAGGGCAAAUCGGAGCUCUUGAGUUCUUGAGUUUAUAAUGAGUUUUCCGGCCAAAUCUUUGAGCUCUAGAGUUUGUGUUAGGCAUGAUUGUUCUUAUGCUUGAUGAGAGGAAGAGUUUGCUGUAUGCCUUGUUAAUUUUGGUUGAAGUUGAUUUAGUGGUGGUGGUUGACCGCCACUGCCGGCGGUUGACCGCCACAGCCGGUGACUGCUGCCGGUUUUGGUGGUGGUUUUGAGUAAUUUUGGAUGAGUUCUAGAAGGGAUAAAUGUUGUUGUAUUGUAUGGUGAUUUUUGGUGAAGAGUGUUUAGAAUUUGGAUAGUUUUGAUGGCUCCAUGGGUGAGAGAUGAGUGGUAUUGAAGUAUUGGAAAUUUUGGUGAGUGUUAGUAGGAAUUUAGUAAAGUUUAAGUCGAUUUUGGUGAAAGAGUAGAGGUGAGCCUCAUCCUUGGAAAUUUCCAUAUUUGUCCUUAAGCGGUAGAACGUUGAGGAGAAAUUGGAGAUGAUUAGUAAAAAUAGGGUUGGAGGUCUUCUUAAGUUGGAAUGAGUAUCGAGUAAGUGAGGACGACUUUAUAUUUGUUAAAUUUGAUAUUCUUGUAUUUUUGUCUCGGACCUUAAAUCUCGUUUUGUACAGGACGAGAGGAGACACCACGUGAGGAGGGCUCUGACCGACGUCAGGCAUAGCCGUCUAUAUUGUGAGUGGACACUUUGUUUUUAAUGGAAUAUGCAUGCUUGAUUAGAGAUUUGAAAUAUGUGGAUUAUUUGGCUUAAUUAUUACUUUGAGCAUUUUAACGUGUGGGACACGUUAUUAAAUUUAAUUUAUUUCUUUCUUAUGCUAUAUUUGUUGGAUUAUAUGAUAUCAAUGCUAGCAUGUCGUUCCACCUUUCGAGGUGAUGUGACUCCCACGUUUCAAGUGGGGUCACGCAAGCCCUUUCCACCCUAGUGGUGAUGUGAUGUUGCCGGCGGCAUCACGCAAGCCCUGUGCUCUAUCCGUCCACUCGACGUGAAGGUACAUGGAUUAUGGGAGUACUAUGUCUGAGAGGCAACCGAGUCUGGGAGACUCACUUAUAUGGCCAUAUAGGAUAUUUUAUUUGAGUUGUUAAUUUGACUAGCCAUUAUUUUGAAAGUUUCUUGAAUGAGAAAUUUAUUUAUUUUUUUUAUUGUAUUAUGACUAGCGGGGCUAGUGUGAAUUUUUAUUGAGUUUAUAAUAUUUGCAUGCAUGAAAAUUCUUGAAUUCUGUAUAAAUGGAAAAGCAUAUAAAAAUUUAAUUUAGUAUCUUUAUGCUCUUGGAUACUUAUUAAUUAGUUUAUUUUUCGUCCACUCACGCUAAUGUUUUUAAAUGCUUUUCCCUGGGCCCUUUGUUUUCAAAUGCCCAGAUUGCAGAGCUCCUGUUCGGUUUCACUAGGAGUUGAGGCUGUUCGGUUUCACUAGGAGUUGAGGCAUAGUUUUUCCGCUGCACCUUGCUGACCGUAGGUUACCUGUUAACCUAUGUGUAGUAUUAUAUUUCCUUCUGGUAGUGCUCUGAUAACCAUCGGGAUAUGUAAAAUAAGUUGGAGUUAUUUUUAAGGGUUAUGACCCAAGUAGGGAGUUUAACUUUGGUCGGUGUUUGUAUUUAAAUAUCGUAGUUGAAUAUU